rnacentral:rRNA from 3 species
UUAAAUUGAAGAGUUUGAUCAUGGCUCAGAUUGAACGCUGGCGGCAGGCCUAACACAUGCAAGUCGAACGGUAACAGGAAGAAGCUUGCUUCUUUGCUGACGAGUGGCGGACGGGUGAGUAAUGUCUGGGAAACUGCCUGAUGGAGGGGGAUAACUACUGGAAACGGUAGCUAAUACCGCAUAACGUCGCAAGACCAAAGAGGGGGACCUUCGGGCCUCUUGCCAUCGGAUGUGCCCAGAUGGGAUUAGCUAGUAGGUGGGGUAACGGCUCACCUAGGCGACGAUCCCUAGCUGGUCUGAGAGGAUGACCAGCCACACUGGAACUGAGACACGGUCCAGACUCCUACGGGAGGCAGCAGUGGGGAAUAUUGCACAAUGGGCGCAAGCCUGAUGCAGCCAUGCCGCGUGUAUGAAGAAGGCCUUCGGGUUGUAAAGUACUUUCAGCGGGGAGGAAGGGAGUAAAGUUAAUACCUUUGCUCAUUGACGUUACCCGCAGAAGAAGCACCGGCUAACUCCGUGCCAGCAGCCGCGGUAAUACGGAGGGUGCAAGCGUUAAUCGGAAUUACUGGGCGUAAAGCGCACGCAGGCGGUUUGUUAAGUCAGAUGUGAAAUCCCCGGGCUCAACCUGGGAACUGCAUCUGAUACUGGCAAGCUUGAGUCUCGUAGAGGGGGGUAGAAUUCCAGGUGUAGCGGUGAAAUGCGUAGAGAUCUGGAGGAAUACCGGUGGCGAAGGCGGCCCCCUGGACGAAGACUGACGCUCAGGUGCGAAAGCGUGGGGAGCAAACAGGAUUAGAUACCCUGGUAGUCCACGCCGUAAACGAUGUCGACUUGGAGGUUGUGCCCUUGAGGCGUGGCUUCCGGAGCUAACGCGUUAAGUCGACCGCCUGGGGAGUACGGCCGCAAGGUUAAAACUCAAAUGAAUUGACGGGGGCCCGCACAAGCGGUGGAGCAUGUGGUUUAAUUCGAUGCAACGCGAAGAACCUUACCUGGUCUUGACAUCCACGGAAGUUUUCAGAGAUGAGAAUGUGCCUUCGGGAACCGUGAGACAGGUGCUGCAUGGCUGUCGUCAGCUCGUGUUGUGAAAUGUUGGGUUAAGUCCCGCAACGAGCGCAACCCUUAUCCUUUGUUGCCAGCGGUCCGGCCGGGAACUCAAAGGAGACUGCCAGUGAUAAACUGGAGGAAGGUGGGGAUGACGUCAAGUCAUCAUGGCCCUUACGACCAGGGCUACACACGUGCUACAAUGGCGCAUACAAAGAGAAGCGACCUCGCGAGAGCAAGCGGACCUCAUAAAGUGCGUCGUAGUCCGGAUUGGAGUCUGCAACUCGACUCCAUGAAGUCGGAAUCGCUAGUAAUCGUGGAUCAGAAUGCCACGGUGAAUACGUUCCCGGGCCUUGUACACACCGCCCGUCACACCAUGGGAGUGGGUUGCAAAAGAAGUAGGUAGCUUAACCUUCGGGAGGGCGCUUACCACUUUGUGAUUCAUGACUGGGGUGAAGUCGUAACAAGGUAACCGUAGGGGAACCUGCGGUUGGAUCACCUCCUUACCUUAAAGAA